rnacentral:rRNA from 1 species
UACCAGACUCCUACGGGAGGCAGCAGUGGGGAAUAUUGGGCAAUGGGCGAAAGCCUGACCCAGCAACGCCGCGUGAAGGAAGAAGGCUUUCGGGUUGUAAACUUCUUUUGACAGGGAAGAGCAGAAGACGGUACCUGUCGAAUAAGCCACGGCUAACUACGUGCCAGCAGCCGCGGUAAUACGUAGGUGGCAAGCGUUAUCCGGAUUUACUGGGUGUAAAGGGCGUGUAGGCGGGGACGCAAGUCAGAUGGGAAAACCAUGGGCUCAACCUGUGGCCUGCAUUUGAAACUGUGUUUCUUGAGUGCUGGAGAGGCAGACGGAAUUCCUAGUGUAGCGGUGAAAUGCGUAGAUAUUAGGAGGAACACCAGUGGCGAAGGCGGUCUGCUAGACAGCAACUGACGCUGAGGCGCGAAAGCGUGGGGAGCAAACAGGAUUAGAUACCCCCGUAUA